GACGAACGCUGGCGGCGUGCUUAACACAUGCAAGUCGAACGGAAAGGCCCUGCUCUUGUGGGGUGCUCGAGUGGCGAACGGGUGAGUAACACGUGAGUAACCUGCCCUUGACUUUGGGAUAACUUCAGGAAACUGGGGCUAAUACCGGAUAGGAGCUCCUGCUGCAUGGUGGGGGUUGGAAAGUUUCGGCGGUUGGGGAUGGACUCGCGGCUUAUCAGCUUGUUGGUGUGGUAGUGGCUUACCAAGGCUUUGACGGGUAGCCGGCCUGAGAGGGUGACCGGCCACAUUGGGACUGAGAUACGGCCCAGACUCCUACGGGAGGCAGCAGUGGGGAAUAUUGCACAAUGGGCGGAAGCCUGAUGCAGCAACGCCGCGUGCGGGAUGACGGCCUUCGGGUUGUAAACCGCUUUCGCCUGUGACGAAGCGUGAGUGACGGUAAUGGGUAAAGAAGCACCGGCUAACUACGUG
rnacentral:rRNA from 1 species